GGAGGAGGCGACAUCAGGCAGAGAAGAGGCAUUUUCUGAAGCGAGGAUUGCAGGUGCGAGGGCCCCGUGUGGGUAGGAGAGUCAUGUCAUUUGUGCGAGAGGCAACAAGAGGUAGAGAGUGGCAGGUGUCACAGAGAAAGGGCAAGGGGCUUAGGUUUGGGAUUACAGUAAGACCAAGGGAACCUUUAAAGCCUAUCUCACAGCAAGAGGCCUUGAGAAGGUGAGGGUUCUAAGUUCUUUCAGUCAAAAUUCUUAAAAGGUUCAAGGCUCAAACGGCACGAAAUGCAUGUAGCGAAAAGAUUCCUUCAACCCAGUCCAGCUACCCAGGUCCCUUCCUCCAAGUCAACCAACCUCACGAGCUUCCCAAAUGCCCUUCCGGAGGUAAUAUUCUCUGCGUGCAAAUACAUCUACAGAAAAAGAAUGGCCAGCAGUAGAAUCAUUGAGGCAAAGGAUAUAUGAGCCUUCAACUAGUCCCUGGAAUUCUCCGGGUUUUGCCAUCAAAAAGAAAUCUGGAAAAUGGAGAAUGCCGACUGAUCUCCGAGCCAUAAAUAAAAUCAUACAACCUUGAGACGCUACACCAUUAGAUUGAUUAACACACUUGCUUAGCUGACUUUGUGCACAGAGUCUUCAGCAAUUAUCCUAAUAAAAAGAAGCUUCAUUCUGGAGUUGGGGCCUCAUUCCGACUCGAGUAUGAGGACCUUCACUUAACUGCC